rnacentral:rRNA from 1 species
UACAGAGGUCUCAAGCGUUGUUCGGAUUCAUUGGGCGUAAAGGGUGCGUAGGUGGCGCUGUAAGUCGGGUGUGAAAUUUCGGAGCUUAACUCCGAAACUGCAUUCGAUACUGCGGUGCUUGAGGACUGGAGAGGAGACUGGAAUUCAUGGUGUAGCAGUGAAAUGCGUAGAGAUCAUGAGGAAGACCAGUGGCGAAGGCGGGUCUCUGGACAGUUCCUGACACCGAGGCACGAAGGCCAGGGGAGCAAACGGG